rnacentral:rRNA from 1 species
AGAGCGAACGCUGGCGGCAGGCCUAACACCUGCAAGUCGAACGGACUCUUCGGAGUUAGUGGCGGACGGGUGAGUAACACGUGGGAACGUGCCUUUAGGUUCGGAAUAGCUCCUGGAAACGGGUGGUAAUACCGAAUGUGCCCUUCGGGGGAAAGAUUUAUCGCCUUUAGAGCGGCCCGCGUCUGAUUAGCUUGUUGGUGAGGUAAUGGCUCACCAAGGCUACGAUCAGUAGCUGGUCUGAGAGGAUGACCAGCCACAUUGGGACUGAGACACGGCCCAAACUCCUACGGGAGGCAGCAGUGGGGAAUCUUGCGCAAUGGGCGAAAGCCUGACGCAGCCAUGCCGCGUGUAUGAUGAAGGUCUUAGGAUUGUAAAAUACUUUCACCGGUGAAGAUAAUGACUGUAGCGGAGAAGAAGCCCGACUAACUCGUGCCAGCAGCCGC